rnacentral:tRNA from 1 species
GUCCCUGUAGCACAAUCGAUAGCGUAUUGGAUAUUUAAUCCAAGUCGUGGGUUCGAAUCCACCUGGGAUG